UUAUUAUUAUUGUUGUUGUUGUUAUUGUUUACAGAACUAUUGAAAGUCUUAAUGAAGAAUUGGCUGGAGAAGGUGUUGUAAUGAAAUGUCCAAAAUAUCAUCUAUCAGAUUAUAUUGGGGACUUUAGUUAUUUAGCUACCACAUUGCGUCAGAUGCCUGUUGAUCCUAACAACACUGAUAAGAAUGCAGAGAAGAUUGAGCCAAUGCCUUCACUAGCUGACAUUAAGAGAGUUGUAACUGAACACUGUAUACUACCACUAGGUAUCCUUCUUAAAAAGGUCUAUUAAAAGGUGUCCUAAUAAUAGAGGCUACACUGUACAUGAACUGUAUGAAUUAGGAGGAUGUGAUAUUAAGGAAGUGAUUGAAAUAACUGAAGAAU
rnacentral:lncRNA from 1 species